AACUUUCUUUUCGCAUAACAUCAUUAUUAUUUGGUACUUGAACUUUUUUUUGUGUAACUUACAUCUUACAAAUGCUGAAAGCUGGUAGGCACUUCGAAGAGGUUCUUUUGAGAAUCUUGGACGAAUUAACUUCGAUAGAGAAGUCGCGGUUAUAUUUUUACUGUGGAAAAGGUUUGCCCACACCACCAAGACCACUGAAUGAAGAAGAAAUGCUAUUUCGCGAGCUACAAGAUAGGAAUGUGAUUUCAUCUGGCAACGUGUCCUUCUUGAAAGAAUUUACGAACACCAUUCUUCGAUAUGACCUGACAAAUAUUCUACUGGAGUAUGAAUCAGAAGUUGAAGUUGGCACUAUCCUCCAAGAGUAUACCUAUUUCCGAGACGAAAACCCGAACUUCGACUGUCCAGAAAUGUCCUCGACGCAGAUCAUUUCCAAACAUUUGUCCCGAAAAUUUACAAACUGUUCAGAGCCGCUAACAAAGAUUGUCAGACUUUCGAAAGACACAAGCUUUCAAGACGAUUUAAGACUAUCAAUCGAUGAGAUGACCCGGGAAGGGAACGAGUUGUGUUGGUCGUCCAUCCUCCAGAUUCUGGGAUUCAGCUCGGAGUUGGCGUACAGACGAAUGUGUUUAUUUCCUGGACCGUCUAWGUUUCASCGAUKGCUUUCAGACAUUGACGACGUUCGCCUGGUAUUACAAGAAUUUAAGAUUGCGUCGUGGAUGGCGCGAAACGGAGGCGUUGCUGGAUGUGCCAAAUUUAUUGCAAAUCAAGAUCCAAAAGAAAUUGCAAGACAAGAUGAAAUUAAAGUGUUGGUUGCACAUAUUAUCUGCCAGGAUGAUGAAAAACAAACUAAUGUGAAAGAUCUACAGUAAUAUACAAGAUAUAAAUAGAAGAUAUAUGGCGUGGAGUACGUCUGGUAAUAGAAAGGUAAAGAAUUAGUACGAUUAAAUGAACCGACCGUCUCCGAAUGGAUUGCUACCUUAUCGCGGUGGAGCUGUUUGUGUGUCCCUAAGACCCUGAGAGCUAAGUCAGCUGGAGUCUUGAACUCCUGGUAGGGCUACCCAUGCUGAAAAGGUCAAGGGGUAGGGUCCAGACGAAGAGCAAUCCUUUGGUUGCAAUAAAAGAACUUGUCAAGAAAAAGAACUUUUCAAGUUCCAAAAGACAUAAAUUUCAGUACAUUAAGUUCUGAAAACAAUUACAAACAAAAAAAACAUUUAUAAAAAAAAACACAAAAAAAGAGAAAAAGUUAUCAAAGUUCACAAGUACCAAAAGAAACAAAUAACUAUUCAUCAAGUUACACAAAAAAAGUUCAAGUACCAAAAAA